rnacentral:rRNA from 1 species
AUUGAACGCUGGCGGCAGGCCUAACACAUGCAAGUCGGACGAGUGGAGGACGGGUGUGUAAUGUCUGGGAAACCGUAUGAUGGAGGGGGAUAACUACUGGAUACGGUCUCAAACUGCGUCUAUCAUCGUAUGCGCCCAUAGGGGUAUAGCUACUAGGUGGGGUAAAGGCUCAUCUAGGCGACGCUCCCUAGAUGGUCUGAGAGGAUGACCAGCCACACUGGAACUGAGACACGGUCCAGACUCCUACGGGAGGCAGCAGGGGGGAAUAUUGCACAAUGGGCGCAAGCCUGAUGCAGCGAUGCCGGGUGUAUGAAGACGGCCUUCGGGUUGUAAAGUACUUUCAGCUGGGAGGCGUUACCCGCAUAAGAAGCACCGGCUAACUCCGUGCCAGCAGCCGCGGUAAUAC